rnacentral:rRNA from 1 species
UUGAGAGUUUGAUCCUGGCUCAGAACGAACGCUGGCGGCAGGCUUAACACAUGCAAGUCGAGCGGUAACAGGGGGAGCUUGCUCCCCGCUGACGAGCGGCGGACGGGUGAGUAAUGCAUAGGAAACUGCCCAGUAGUGGGGGAUAGCCCGGGGAAACCCGGAUUAAUACCGCAUACGCCCUUUGGGGGAAAGCAGGGGAUCUUCGGACCUUGCGCUAUUGGAUGUGCCUAUGUCGGAUUAGCUAGUUGGUGGGGUAAGAGCCUACCAAGGCGACGAUCCGUAGCUGGUCUGAGAGGAUGAUCAGCCACACUGGGACUGAGACACGGCCCAGACUCCUACGGGAGGCAGCAGUGGGGAAUAUUGGACAAUGGGGGCAACCCUGAUCCAGCCAUGCCGCGUGUGUGAAGAAGGCUUUCGGGUUGUAAAGCACUUUCAGUGAGGAGGAAAACCUUACGACUAAUACUCGUGAGGCUUGACGUUACUCACAGAAGAAGCACCGGCUAACUCCGUGCCAGCAGCCGCGGUAAUACGUAGGGUGCGAGCGUUGUCCGGAAUUAUUGGGCGUAAAGAGCUCGUAGGCGGUCUGUCACGUCGGCUGUGAAAACC